CUGAUGGCUCUCAGUAUCUCUCGUCAUGUCCCUGGCAGCUUUGACACAGGGAGCAAAACAAGAACUCUGAAUUUGCCGCUGGGCACCGGGCUCAUCCUCGGCUUUCAGCCUUCGAGAGGACUGCACUCUAAGGUAACGGUUUCUGUCAUACGGAGGUAAGGGGAUACUUCGGUGCUGUCCAACAAGGCGUCUGUUAUCAGAGGGAAAUGUGUCCGUUCAGAGGUGAGAGAGGCUUUGUGCUCUCAAGCAGGCCACCUCGCCGCCUUUGUCCCGGUAACAAGCUCAGCUCAGGCUCCAAUGAAGCGAGAAAUUGUAAACUCUCCAGAGAGGCCCAGUGGAGAGAUACGGGUUUAGUGUUUGCUGGCUGUGUGCUUGGGGAUGCAUCAGAUAAGGCAGAGUCCCACGCCAGAAUGGGAGUGAUGAUACCUCCCCUUCUAUGAAGAGUUAUGUUUAAUCCCUUUGGUAGUGUAUUCACUUGCAAAUCCUCCUGUCACCAUUAAUAUGUAUUAACACUCUACAGACAGUGUUCAAUACAGAUUUAUCAGCCUCUCUUUUUUCCUCUUGCAUGCACAGUCGUCUCCCCCUACUCUGGAGUUGUGGAGCUUUUUUUGGCAAACAGAAUACACGUGUCUUUCAGUGCUAGUAUCGAGAGAACAUGCUUUUGCUGUACGAUACCCGAUAUUACUGUGCACUCUCUAUCUAUGGGCUUUCUUUGGACAGUUCCUUCUUCAUUUUAAGUUGAAAAAAGAAAAUGUUGAAAAAAAACUUCUGUUCUACUUAAACCCCUCUACACAUACUUUUGGGGGGAAUGUCGUACCAAGAUCACAUACUGUAUGAAUAUGUGCGAUCCCUAAAUCUGGGAAAGUAUUGACUCGCUAAUCAAUUUGAUUUGUUCGGUGUAAAUCUCCGUAACUUCAUACAGAGCUCAAAACCUCUCUUUGAAUUCCAAUCUGUUUAUCUAUUCCUAUUAUGUCAUUCAUAAUAGCGGAGCAUUAAUCCAAUAAAAUGAAGCAUAUUAGAUGGGGAUGUCUUAGGAGAUUUUGUUUGCACCAACGUGUUAGGUGGCCUAAUCCACACAAAGCCCUGUGAAGCUCAUUAUGGCGAGGCCCUGAGGCGCUAGUGGUAAGGUACCUUUAGCAUUAAAACAGCCUAGCAGCUCCAUGGCCUGCCAGCCUAGCUGUCAGCUCCCUGGCAGAGCCCAAAUCAAGCUGUCAAUUACUGGACGUGUUUAUGGAAAUUACAUGUUUGUGAACAUGCUGGAAAAAUGUGCUC
ensembl:lncRNA